GAUGAACGCUGGCGGCGUGCCUAAUACAUGCAAGUCGAGCGAACGGACGAGAAGCUUGCUUCUCUGAUGUUAGCGGCGGACGGGUGAGUAACACGUGGAUAACCUACCUAUAAGACUGGGAUAACUUCGGGAAACCGGAGCUAAUACCGGAUAAUAUUUUGAACCGCAUGGUUCAAAAGUGAAAGACGGUCUUGCUGUCACUUAUAGAUGGAUCCGCGCUGCAUUAGCUAGUUGGUAAGGUAACGGCUUACCAAGGCAACGAUGCAUAGCCGACCUGAGAGGGUGAUGGGCCCACCUGGAACUGGAAACCGGUCAGGAUCCCAAAGGGGGGCAGGAGUGGGGAAUUUUCCGAAAGGGGGGAAACCCUGAGGGGGCACGCCCGGGGGGGGGAUGAAGGUUUUGGGAUCGAAAAACUCUUUUAUUAGGAAAAAAAAAUUGUGUAAGAAACUUUGCCCUUUUGGGCGGAACUAAAAAAAAAAGCCGCGCCAAACUAGGU
rnacentral:rRNA from 1 species